GGCACCGCCUACUUCACAGCGGGCGGCGGUUAGUGCGCGGGGCCGGCUGCCGGCGCGGGACCGAGGCGGGCGGGAAGGCGCUUCGCUGGAGGCUGGCACGGUUUCCUAGAUCUAAAAGAAAGGCUGAGUUAGAGUACCCUUCCAAAAUGGCUGCUCUUAAGGAAGAGAGAGAUGUGGAAGACUACAAGAGGAAAGGAAGACGAUCCUCACAGCAGAAAUACCGUAGACUGAAUAAGGGCCAUGAGCCAAAGGAGCCGGAGCAGUUGAGAAAGCUGUUCAUUGGAGGUCUGAGCUUUGAAACAACAGAUGAUAGCUUGAGAGAGCACUUUGAAAAAUGGGGCACACUUACAGACUGUGUGGUGAUGAGAGACCCACAAACAAAACGUUCCAGAGGUUUCGGCUUUGUGACUUACUCUUGUGUGGAGGAGGUGGAUGCUGCCAUGAGUGCUCGACCUCAUAAGGUUGAUGGACGAGUGGUUGAACCAAAGAGAGCAGUUUCAAGGGAGGAUUCUGUAAAGCCUGGGGCGCAUCUCACAGUAAAGAAAAUAUUUGUUGGUGGAAUUAAAGAAGAUACCGAAGAAUAUAACUUAAGGGAGUACUUUGAAAAAUAUGGCAAAAUUGAAACCAUAGAAGUCAUGGAAGACAGACAAAGCGGAAAGAAAAGAGGCUUCGCUUUUGUAACUUUUGAUGAUCAUGAUACCGUUGAUAAAAUUGUUGUUCAGAAAUAUCAUACUAUAAAUGGACAUAACUGUGAAGUGAAAAAAGCACUCUCAAAACAAGAGAUGCAGACUGCUAGCUCUCAGAGAGUAAAAUAUUUUGUAGGUCGUGGGGGUGGCUCAGGCAACUUCAUGGGUCGUGGAAACUUCGGAGGCGGUGGAGGGAACUUUGGCCGAGGAGGAAACUUUGGUGGAAGAGGAAAAUAUUCUCAUCUGUUUUGUGUUCCAGGAGGCUAUGGGGGUGGUGGUGGCGGUGGUGGGAGCAGAGGAAGCUUUGGGGGUGGUGACGGAUACAAUGGAUUUGGUGAUGGUGGCAACUAUGGAGGUGGUCCUGGCUAUGGCAGCAGAGGAGGUUAUGGUGGUGGUGGAGGACCAGGAUAUGGAAACCCAGGUGGUGGAUAUGGAGGUGGAGGAGGAGGAUAUGAUGGCUACAAUGAAGGUGGAAAUUUUGGUGGUGGUAAUUAUGGUGGAAGUGGAAACUAUAAUGAUUUUGGCAAUUACAGUGGACAACAGCAGUCUAACUAUGGUCCCAUGAAAGGUGGUGGCAGCUUUGGUGGCAGAAGUUCAGGCAGUCCCUAUGGUGGUGGUUAUGGAUCUGGAAGUGGAAGUGGGGGCUAUGGUGGUAGAAGAUUCUAAAAAUGCUACCAGAAAAAGGGUUGAAUGAGAAGCUGCUGCUUGACAAAAUGGGGAAUGUCUUGCACAUCCUCUUCAGUUGAAGGUUUCUGACUGGCGCUGUGAGGAACACAAAGUGGUCUUUAAUUAUUGCAACACAUUGUGAGUUACAGGAUCAUCUUUUCACCGUGGGACUGCAAGUCAGAAACCCUUGGUUCAGCCCAGCUCCUCCACUUCACUUUUAAUAGCUUGAAAACUGAAUGUUUUGAUCAAGAAAUAAAUGGUCUCCAUGUGGAGCCUUGUCAGUGCAUGAGGUCAGCAUUGUGAUGCAUCAGACUUGGCAAUGUCACUAGUCACUCUCAGGCUUGGGAACAUACUCUGUACCUCAGUAACAAUAAUAAAAUGAAGGAUAGAGUGUUUGAUCUGAUGUUUUCACACAUACAAACUAACGCAAUGUGGAGUGUGUUUUUUCCCUUAGCGAUGUUGGGCGUUUGGAUGCGAGUACAACAUUCACUGUCUUCGUGGUGUGAAAAAUACUGGUUUAAACUGAAUGUGUGUUGUCAUGGUCCAAGUUACUGCAGCCUGAUUCUUUGCCUGCUGGAAUUUGAGGCUUCUGCAUUAACUGCAGGCAGCUUGUUGUUGCUCUUUUUCAUCUUUGCAAUGGAAUAAGUAUCCCUGUGUUAGGUUUUAGACCUGGGGGUAGUACAAAUACAACAGCCCCUGCAAAGGCUGUAUGAAUGCUGUUUGCCUUCAGCUGUUUAUAUAGCCCAUGUGUAAUUAAGCAUUAAUAUUACAGUUAGAACGUUUUUCUCUGUAAGCCUGACAUUUGAUAGCCUAGUUAGGGGUAGGGGGGAACCCAGGAGCUCUUCCUCUUCAGGUUCUCUGUGCUUUGCCAUCAGACCUGCCAGUGUAUUAGAGCUACUGUGUGCUGGUUUUGAAAGACUGUCCAGGGCCGUCGCUCAGUGUGCUUCCUCCUUAAUGCUGCUUUUGCUCUGAAAUUGCCAUCCUUAAAUAUAGAUUAGAUCCCCUUGCUGUAAAUGGCAGCAGUCUCUCACAUUCCCCCAGUGGUCACCUGGGCUUGGCAGUGGUGAGGGGUGUUUUCCCUCCUUGGUAGUACUGGUGGCAAAGUCAACAGGGGCACAUUUGAACAGCAGCAGCAAGAAAAUACCCCUCCCUGCUGCAGUAUCUUUGAUUUAGUUUAGCUGGCUGCUCAUUGGCUGGAGCAAAUACACCUGCUUCGCCCAGCAAACCCAGCCUCUAGGUUUUUAACUGUUGGUAUUGACCAUUUGCUCCAAUAAGAGGAGUGUUCUUGCGCUUGGAGUAUGUCACAGACUCUGCAGUGGGAUGGGCUGACAUGCCCUUAGCGAGGAAGAAGGUCAGUAUAAACAAGGUAAGCGGCCUCAAAGGGUGAGUUGGGUCACCUGGAUUUACAUUUCCCAAGGUCUUCUGCAAAAACACAAAUGUUACUAUCUGAUGUAACGGGCAGGGUUCCUAGCACUUCCGGGGAUGUUGGAAAACUCUUUUUUCCCCUAACUUUGCUGUAUCCGCUGCCUCAGAUACUUGCUGUGAGUCCUACCCUACAAAAUGUAACACAGUACGAGGAGUUGUGUAUGAAGCUGUUACUUUUCCAGGGUUGGAACAUCUCAUAGGCCCAGGUUUACGUACCAAAGACUUUCUUCUGGUACUGGCACUUGGCCAUUACACUUGCCUUUUAAAGAGGAUAUUGUCUACAGGAUCACGGUUCCUGGCAUUGCAGUGCCCUGGAGCACAACUACCUUCCUGGUGAAACUGUUACCUCUCUGCUUUCCUGCCUCUGCUCUUCUCUGGUUAGCUAUGGGUGCGCUGCAGAUGGGGAAGGCAGAGAAAGAGUUUGUACCAGGUACUAGAGAGGCCUCUGCUAUUCAGAAUCAGUAAAUGAGCUAACAGGAAGAUGAAUGACAUGGAUUAGAAAUAAAAAAUUAUUUGUGAAGAGUUGUGCCCAGCUGGACAAUAAAAUGGUGUCUGAAAUUGUGUGCAUACAGGGAAAAGCAAAACCGGUACCUACAUAAUUGUAGGCUCCAAGGUAGUUAAUGCUAUUCAGGUGAGAGGGCUCAGCGUCACUGGGGUGUUGUAUGGAAGCAGCAAACAGAACAGUCAAAUGCAGAAGCCCUUCCACAGCAUCCUGUGACACAAUAAUAGUCACCAGAACUAUGGCUUUCCCUACUGCCUCAGCACUGGGGUUUGUUGGUUUUUUUUUUUUUAAGGACACUAAGAAGAUCCAUAAAAAGUGAUACAGUACAGAAGUGGGGUUAUGAUAAUCUAACAUUGUUCCUUUGGUUUUCAUGGCCAGUUACAACAGGAAAUGGUUUCUGCUGGAUAUGCAACUCCAGCACAGCUAAAACAUUUGGGAAAUAAAAACCUCAAGACUGCAUUCACCAACAACUGUAUCAUUUUAUUUAGCAUUCCUCUGACUUUGUGAGUAUUGAGCUAAUGGAAGGCUGGUUUCCUAAUCUGAUGCCCCUCUUUAUAGGAAAAGGGUUUAACUUUAUUAAAUGUCUACCCUUUUUCAGUAACUCCAAUUCCUUCUUUAAAGAAAACCAACCAUACCAUAAGGUCUUGCAAAACAAUGGUGUUUAUUAUACUAUAUGAAAUGAUGCAUAAUAUGGUAAUAGACCAAAUAUUCCUAAAAUGACAUAGAAAAAUCAGUGGCAGAAAAACACAUUUCAGAUUACAAAUGCCUUUUAGAAGUUUCAUAGGGAAAAUGAAGGAAUAAGAUAUGUUUUUAAUGCAUAUUUCAAAUUACACAUUUUCCAUAUUCAAAAAAUCCACACUGAUCAAGUACACUGAGUCCAGUUGAAAAGUAAACAAAGCAAUGCUAUAUAUUGCCCAAUUUUUAUUCUCUUAUAAAUCACAGUGCUUUUCAGUUAAUUGAGCACAGGUUCCAAACUGUGCAGUUGGUGGGCAGUCGGUAUGCCUUCCUCCGUAAGCUCCAAAAUAAUAGCAGUGACAAACGAUGGUCACUGAUCAGAGGCGGAGACACAGGGUGUGUUUCUAGACCAAUUACUCAAAAGUGUACAGAAUUUUUAGUUGGAAAAUGCAUAAUGCUGACAGUGUUGAAUUAAGAGAUUUUACAUGCCUUUGGAGGAAAGACCUCAUCAUAAAUUUAAGUAGUGUUCAAAGAGCAAAACAAAAAUUAUGUAAACUUAGCAUAGACUCGAACCUUCACUUUGUGUUACACAGUCCUUCCAAACAGCAGUUAACAUCACACUGAACAGACGUUAGUAACACUGCCAAUGCUGCGUGAUAUAUGCUUAAAUACCCAGGAUGUUUGUUACAUGAACACUUAAAAUGUUAAUGAACUGAUAAAUCAAAAUCAAACAUUAAGUAUCAACCUUCAUACUAAAUUAAAAUAUCUUAAAUAUGAAGCAAGUAUAAAUGGGUAAGAAAUGGGAAACAAACACUACUGCAUAUUUAUAAAAAAAUCAGAAGCCAUACUGUUCGUCUUGCAAGAAAUAUUUCAAAGGCUAAAAUCAUUUUUAUAUAUAUCAAAUCUAUGAAUAUAACAAGAGAUAGGAACAGUAUAUAAAUAUGGUAUCUUUAAAUAUUUA